rnacentral:rRNA from 1 species
GGGUAGUUUGACUGGGGCGGUCUCCUCCUAAAGAGUAACGGAGGAGCACGAAGGUUGGCUAAUCCUGGUCGGACAUCAGGAGGUUAGUGCAAUGGCAUAAGCCAGCUUGACUGCGAGCGUGACGGCGCGAGCAGGUGCGAAAGCAGGUCAUAGUGAUCCGGUGGUUCUGAAUGGAAGGGCCAUCGCUCAACGGAUAAAAGGUACUCCGGGGAUAACAGGCUGAUACCGCCCAAGAGUUCAUAUCGACGGCGGUGUUUGGCACCUCGAUGUCGGCUCAUCACAUCCUGGGGCUGAAGUAGGUCCCAAGGGUAUGGCUGUUCGCCAUUUAAAGUGGUACGCGAGCUGGGUUUAGAACGUCGUGAGACAGUUCGGUCCCUAUCUGCCGUGGGCGCUGGAGAACUGAGG